AGCUGAAUUUACCUGCAUUGCUUCCGAAAGAGGCUGGAAGCAGUCUUUUAAAGGCUACCCAAGUGAUGAAUUCUUAUUCUCUUGUUUCUUCUCUGAAUUUUUGAGGAAGAGGACAAAUUGGGACUUGGGAGCAAGAGAUGUGGUAGGACUAGAGGAGAGAGCCAAUUGUUUGUCAUGUACAGGAUUCUGUUCUCGGUAAUUAAUUCCGAAAGGAACUCGAUAAAAUUUGAGUUAGUAUUU